UACGUAGGGUGCAAGCGUUGUCCGGAAUUAUUGGGCGUAAAGAGCUCGUAGGCGGUUUGUCGCGUCGGAUGUGAAAUCCAGGGCUCAACCUGGACCUGCAUUCGAUACGGGCAGACUAGAGUUCGGUAGGGGAGUGCGGAAUUCCCGGUGUAGCGGUGAAAUGCGCAGAUAUCGGGAGGAACACCAGUGGCGAAGGCGGCACUCUGGGCCGGAACUGACGCUGAGAGACGAAAGCUAGGGGAGCGAAUGGG
rnacentral:rRNA from 1 species